rnacentral:rRNA from 1 species
AUUGAACGCUGGCGGCAGGCCUAACACAUGCAAGUCGAGCGGAUGAGUGGAGCUUGCUCCAUGAUUCAGCGGCGGACGGGUGAGUAAUGCCUAGGAAUCUGCCUGGUAGUGGGGGACAACGUUUCGAAAGGAACGCUAAUACCGCAUACGUCCUACGGGAGAAAGCAGGGGACCUUCGGGCCUUGCGCUAUCAGAUGAGCCUAGGUCGGAUUAGCUAGUAGGUGAGGUAAAGGCUCACCUAGGCGACGAUCCGUAACUGGUCUGAGAGGAUGAUCAGUCACACUGGAACUGAGACACGGUCCAGACUCCUACGGGAGGCAGCAGUGGGGAAUAUUGGACAAUGGGCGAAAGCCUGAUCCAGCCAUGCCGCGUGUGUGAAGAAGGUCUUCGGAUUGUAAAGCACUUUAAGUUGGGAGGAAGGGCAGUAAGUUAAUACCUUGCUGUUUUGACGUUACCAACAGAAUAAGCACCGGCUAACUUCGUGCCAGCCGCCGCCGUAA